rnacentral:rRNA from 1 species
UACAGGGGGGGCAAGCGUUGUUCGGAAUUACUGGGCGUAAAGGGCUCGUAGGUGGCCAACUAAGUCAGACGUGAAAUCCCUCAGCUUAACUGGGGAACUGCGUCUGAUACUGGAUGGCUUGAGUUUGGGAGAGGGAUGCGGAAUUCCAGGUGUAGCGGUGAAAUGCGUAGAUAUCGAGAGGAACACCUGCGGCGAAGGCGGGUAGCUGGGCCGACACUGACGCUGAGGCGCGAAAGCCAGGGGAGCGAACGGG